AUUGAACGCUGGCGGCAGGCCUAACACAUGCAAGUCGAGCGGAUGACGGGAGCUUGCUCCUUGAUUCAGCGGCGGACGGGUGAGUAAUGCCUAGGAAUCUGCCUGGUAGUGGGGGACAACGUUUCGAAAGGAACGCUAAUACCGCAUACGUCCUACGGGAGAAAGCAGGGGACCUUCGGGCCUUGCGCUAUCAGAUGAGCCUAGGGCGGAUUAGCUAGUUGGUGGGGGAAUGGCUCACCAAGGCGACGAUCCGUAACUGGUCUGAGAGGCUGAUCGGUCACACUGGAACUGAGACACGGUCCAGACUCCUACGGGAGGCAGCAGUGGGGAAUAUUGGACAAUGGGCGAAAGCCUGAUCCAGCCAUGCCGCGUGUGUGAAGAAGGUCUUCGGAUUGUAAAGCACUUUAAGUUGGGAGGAAGGGCAGUAAGCUAAUACCUUGCUGUUUUGACGUUACCGACAGAAUAAGCACCGGCUAACUCUGUGCCAGCCGCCGCGGUAA
rnacentral:rRNA from 1 species